rnacentral:rRNA from 1 species
AAUGAACGCUGGCGGCAGGCCUAACACAUGCAAGUCGAACGGAUCCUUCGGGAUUAGUGGCGGACGGGUGAGUAACGCGUGGGAACAUACCCAAAGGUACGGAAUAGCCUCGGGAAACUGGGAGUAAUACCGUAUGUGGUCGAGAGACGAAAGAUUUAUCGCCAAGGGAUCGGCCCGCGUUGGAUUAGGUAGUUGGUGGGGUAAUGGCCUACCAAGCCGACGAUCCAUAGCUGGUUUGAGAGGAUGAUCAGCCACACUGGGACUGAGACACGGCCCAGACUCCUACGGGAGGCAGCAGUGGGGAAUCUUAGACAAUGGGGGAAACCCUGAUCUAGCCAUGCCGCGUGAUCGAUGAAGGCCUUAGGGUUGUAAAGAUCUUUCAGUGGGGAAGAUAAUGACGGUACCCACAGAAGAAGCCCCGGCUAACUCCGUGCCAGCAGCCGCCGUAA